ACUCCUACGGGAGGCAGCAGUAGGGAAUCUUCCACAAUGGGCGCAAGCCUGAUGGAGCAACACCGCGUGAGUGAAGAAGGGUUUCGGCUCGUAAAGCUCUGUUGUUAAAGAAGAACACGUAUGAGAGUAACUGUUCAUACGUUGACGGUAUUUAACCAGAAAGUCACGGCUAAACUACGUGCCAGCAGCCGCGGUAAUACGUAGGUGGCAAGCGUUAUCCGGAUUUAUUGGGCGUAAAGAGAGUGCAGGCGGUUUUCUAAGUCUGAUGUGAAAGCCUUCGGCUUAACUGGAGAAGUGCAUCGGAAACUGGAUAACUUGAGUGCAGAAGAGGGUAGUGGAACUCCAUGUGUAGCGGUGGAAUGCGUAGAUAUAUGGAAGAACACCAGUGGCGAAGGCGGCUACCUGGUCUGCAACUGACGCUGAGACGUCGAAA
rnacentral:rRNA from 1 species